rnacentral:rRNA from 1 species
AUUGAACGCUGGCGGCAGGCCUAACACAUGCAAGUCGAGCGGAUGAAGGGAGCUUGCUCCUGGAUUCAGCGGCGGACGGGUGAGUAAUGCCUAGGAAUCUGCCUGGUCGUGGGGGAUAACGUCCGGAAACGGGCGCUAAUACCGCAUACGUCCUGAGGGAGAAAGUGGGGGAUCUUCGGACCUCACGCUAUCAGAUGAGCCUAGGUCGGAUUAGCUAGUUGGUGGGGUAAAGGCCUACCAAGGCGACGAUCCGUAACUGGUCUGAGAGGAUGAUCAGUCACACUGGAACUGAGACACGGUCCAGACUCCUACGGGAGGCAGCAGUGGGGAAUAUUGGACAAUGGGCGAAAGCCUGAUCCAGCCAUGCCGCAUGUGUGAAGAAGGUCUUCGGAUUGUAAAGCACUUUAAGUUGGGAGGAAGGGCAGUAAGUUAAUACCUUGCUGUUUUGACGUUACCAACAGAAUAAGCACCGGCUAACUUCGUG